CCCUUAGAUGUUCUGGGCCGCACGCGCGCUACACUGAUGCAUUCAACGAGCCUAUCCCUGACCGACAGGUCCGGGUAAUCUUUGAAUCUGCAUCGUGACGGGGAUAGAUUAUUGCAAUUAUUAAUCUUCAACGAGGAAUGCCUAGUAGGCGCAAGUCAUCAGCUUGCGUCGAUUACGUCCCUGCCCUUUGUACACACCGCCCGUCGCUCCUACCGAUUGGGUGUGCUGGUGAAAUGUUCGGAUCGGCCGUUUGUCGCGGUUUCCGCGUCAUGUGGCUGAGAAGUUCAUUAAACCCUCCCACCUAGAGGAAGGAGAAGUCGUAACG
rnacentral:rRNA from 1 species